UUUCGCAAUGCCCGAAAGGGUGACGAAGCGACGCCGCGUGGGUGAGGAAGGCCUUCGGGUUGUAAAGCCCUGUCAGGAGUUAAGAAAUGUAGAUUCGCUAAUAUCGGGUCUAUUUGACAAAGGCUCCAAAGGAAGCCACGGCUAACUCUGUGCCAGCAGCCGCGGUAAUACAGAGGUGGCAAGCGUUGUUCGGAAUUAUUGGGCGUAAAGAGCACGUAGGUGGAUUUGUAAGUCAGAUGUGAAAGCCUUCUGUUCAACGGAAGAAUUACACCUGAAACUACAAACCUUGAGUGUAGGAGGGGAGAAUGGAACUUCUGGUGGAGCGGUGAAAUGCGUAGAUAUCAGAAGGAACGCCGGCGGCGAAAGCGAUUCUCUGGCCUAUUACUGACACUCAGUGUGCGAAAACUAGGGGAGCAAACGGGAUUAGAUACCCCGGUAGUCCUAGCCGUAAACGAUGGGCACUAAGUAGAGGGGUUUUA
rnacentral:rRNA from 1 species